rnacentral:lncRNA from 7 species
CCACUACAUAUGGGCUGAACUCAGAGCUGUCUGCCUUUGAUCAGUUGCACUAGGGCUUGGUUGUGUGAAGUCUCUCCCCUGCCCUUGAGCUCUAACUCGUGGCCACCGUAUGAGUGAAGUGGUAGUGUUCAGCCUGAGUAACCUCCCUCCCCAAACCUGAUUUGCUCUUGUGUUGUGUGCCAUCUACUCGGCUUGGUGUUCAUCACAGCCGAUUCCCCCCCCCCCCCCCCCCCCCCCCCGCCGCCCGCCGUCG